CCAGCAGCCUGUGGAAGCGGGUGCGAGGCGAGGGGUGCUAUCUGUGGUUGAGGACACGGCAAAUGAAACUGUCUCACACAGAAAUCGCACCCAUCUCCUCGGCCCGCCUUGCACCACGCAGACGGG
rnacentral:pre_miRNA from 8 species